rnacentral:lncRNA from 1 species
GUGUUCAGUGGCGAUUGGAGGGUAGACCUGUGGGCACGGACGCACGCCACUUUUUCUCUGCUGAUCCAGCAAAUGUGCAAUACCAACAUGUCUGUACCUACUGAUGGUGCUGUAACCACCUCACAGAUUCCAGCUUCGGAACAAGAGACCCUGUUAGACCAAAGCCAUUGCUUUUGAAGUUAUUAAAGUCUGUUGGUGCACAAAAAGACACUUAUACUAUGAAAGAGAUCUUGAUGCUGGUGUAAGUGAACAUUCAGGUGAUUGGUUGGAUCAGGAUUCAGUUUCAGAUCAGUUUAGUGUAGAAUUUGAAGUUGAAUCUCUCGACUCAGAAGAUUAUAGCCUUAGUGAAGAAGGACAAGAACUCUCAGAUGAAGAUGAUGAGACUAUUGGAAAUGCACUUCAUGCAAUGAAAUGAAUCCCCC